rnacentral:rRNA from 1 species
ACUCAAAUGAAUUGACGGGCACCCGCACAAGCGGUGGAGCAUGCCGUUUAAUUCGAAAGUACGCGAAGAACCUUACCUAGACUUGACAUCCCCGGCAAUGUUAUGGAAACAUAACGGAGGUAUCCCGGGUGACAGGUGGUGCAUGGUUGUCGUCAGCUCGUGUCGUGAGAUGUUCGGUUAAGUCCGCUAACGAGCGCAACCCUUAUUAUUAGUUGCUAACAUUUAGUUGAGUUCUCUAAUAAGACUGCCAGUAAUAAACUGGAGGAAGGUGGGGAUGACGUCAAAUCAUCAUGCCCCUUACGUUUAGGGCAACAGGCGUGCUACAAUGGCUGGUACAAUGAGUCGCAAUACCGCAAGGUGGAGCCAAUCUCAAAAGCCAGUCUCAGUUCGGAUUGUCCUCUGCAACUCGAGGGCAUGAAGUUGAAAUCGCUAGUAAUCCCAGAUCAGCAUGCUGGGGUGAAUACGUUCUCGGGUGUUGUACACACCGCCCGU